rnacentral:lncRNA from 1 species
AAUGAUUGACAUGGUUCAAUGGGCCUUUUUUUUAAACCGCUGAUUUCUCUUUACAGCAAAUUGCAAAUUAAAUCACAUGAAUAUCUCCGUUUCUUAGGUUCGUUAUUCGCGUUAGAAUGUCCUAAUUAUGUGAUCUUUGCCAGACUUUCAUGCAGUUUGGCCUAUUUGUGGAUUACAUUGUUUUGUCGAUGAUGUUUUAGGCCACUCUUUUCUUCUACGAAUCUAGCUAAAAUACUACUGCUCUUGGCUAUAACGUGAGAGCUGGGUGGUAACAUUUUGUUUUUCUGAUUUGUGUACAAAUUGACAUUAUGAGCAGGAAUGGCCAAUUUGUGUGACUUAUGGAGCUAUUGUUGGCUACUUGUCUGGAAUGAUGACUUCGUUUGGAUUCAUUGCCUUCAAAAACUGGCGACGGCGUGUGAAAGGAGACUAGUUUUUGACUAAUUUUCCAAGAGUAACCAUGUGGAGUACUACGAGUGUGCUUUAAACUUAUAAAGUUCUCGGACCAGAUUUACCGUGUUGAUCUUAUCAUGAAGAGAGGUUUACGUCCCUCGCAAAGUACCAAUGUUUUUAUAAACUCCCAGAACACCAGUUUUUUGCAAUGAAUUGCAAGAAGAUUUUGUGAAGUGGAUCAAGCAUAUUAUAAUUAAUUAAUGCCGUUGAGGCAAAUCUUGUAUUGUCGUUGAUUUCUUCGUACGUUAAUUUUUGUAAAUAUUUUUAGUAUCUAAUAUCCCUAUCAGUACUUAAAAUAGGAUAGAAAAUGGUGUCCUUAAAUUUGAAUAGUUUUUAAAAGUUCAAAUAAAUUUAGAUGCUCUAUCGCGGAUUAUGUUCGUAAAAUCUGCGUGUAACUCAAAUUUUAAUAUAUUCUGUG